rnacentral:rRNA from 1 species
UAAGGAAUAUUGGACAAUGGAGGCAACUCUGAUCCAGCCAUGCCGCGUGAAGGAAUAAGGCCCUAUGGGUUGUAAACUUCUUUUAGACGGGACAAAACCCCUUUACGUGUAAAGGGUUGAUGGUACUGUCAGAAUAAGCAUCGGCUAACUUCGUGCCAGCAGCCGCGGUAAUACGAAGGAUGCAAGCGUUAUCCGGAAUUAUUGGGUUUAAAGGGUGCGUAGGCGGACUGAUAAGUCAGUGGUGAAAGCCUGCAGCUUAACUGCAGAAUUGCCAUUGAUACUGUUAGUCUUGAGUACAGUUGAGGUAGGCGGAAUGUGUCAUGUAGCGGUGAAAUGCUUAGAUAUGACACAGAACACCGAUUGCGAAGGCAGCUUGCUAAGCUGUAACUGACGCUGAGGCACGAAAGCGUGGGGAGCAAACA